rnacentral:tRNA from 3 species
UGGGGCGUCGCCAAGUGGUAAGGCAGCGGGUUUUGGUUCCGCCAUUCGUAGGUUCGAGUCCUUCCGCCCCAG